UCUAACGUGGCAGAACUAAAUGCAAUGAAUUUAAGACUCAUAUAUGAAUAAACAUUUUCCUUUAGAA
rnacentral:tRNA from 1 species